rnacentral:rRNA from 1 species
GUGGGGAAUCUUGCGCAAUGGGCGAAAGCCUGACGCAGCCAUGCCGCGUGAAUGAUGAAGGUCUUAGGAUUGUAAAAUUCUUUCACCGGGGACGAUAAUGACGGUACCCGGAGAAGAAGCUCCGGCUAACUUCGUGCCAGCAGCCGCGGUAAUACGAAGGGGGCUAGCGUUGCUCGGAAUUACUGGGCGUAAAGGGCGCGUAGGCGGACAGCUUAGUCAGAGGUGAAAGCCCAGGGCUCAACCUUGGAAUUGCCUUUGAUACUGGGUGUCUUGAGUUUGGGAGAGGUGAGUAGAACUCCGAGUGUAGAGGUGAAAUUCGUAGAUAUUCGGAAGAACACCAGUGGCGAAGGCGACUCACUGGCCCAAUACUGACGCUGAGGCGCGAAAGCGUGGGGAGCAAACAGGAUUAGAAACCCCUGUAGUCC